AAUGCCUAACGGCUGAACCAGCAACUUGGAAGAAUGUAUAGCGAAAGCUAAUUGUUUUAUAUUAAUAAUAUAAAACAGUUUCGAUUUGAUCGAAUAAAAUUCUGGGUAAAUUUAUGAUAAUGACAUUUUUUACCCAUAGUCUUGACAAACUACGUGCCAGCAGUCGCGGUAAUACGUAGGAGACUAGUGUUAUUCAUCUCUAAUAGGUUUAAAGGGUACCUAGACGGCAAAUAAAGCCUUUACUGGAACUUAUUUGCUAGAGUUACUUAUGAAGAAGCUUUAAUGUACUAGAGGUGAAGAGAUGAAAUUCUAUUAUACCUUUUUCUCAACAGAAAAUUUUGGCACAGAUAAAGGUGAAAACAUCUUCUUAUGAGAUAACUGACGUUGAGGGACGAAGGCUUUUUAUAGCGAACAGGAUUAGAUACCCUGGUAGUCAAAGCAGAAAAUGAUGAGUGUCAUAUAUUAGAUAAAAAUUUAUUAUAUAAAUGAAAAUUAAAGCACUCCACCUCAAGAGUAAUUUGGCAACAUUGGAACUGAAAUCAUUAGACCGCAUUUGAGACCAGUAAUGAAGUAUGUUAUUUAAUUUGAUACUACACAAAGAACCUUACCACAACUUGAAUGUUUAUA
rnacentral:rRNA from 1 species